GACGAACGCUGGCGGCGUGCCUAAUACAUGCAAGUAGAACGCUGAAGAGAGGAGCUUGCUCUUCUUGGAUGAGUUGCGAACGGGUGAGUAACGCGUAGGUAACCUGCCUUGUAGCGGGGGAUAACUAUUGGAAACGAUAGCUAAUACCGCAUAACAAUGGAUGACACAUGUCAUUUAUUUGAAAGGGGCAAUUGCUCCACUACAUGAUGGACCUGCGUUGUAUUAGCUAGUAGGUGAGGUAAUGGCUCACCUAGGCGACGAUACAUAGCCGACCUGAGAGGGUGAUCGGCCACACUGGGACUGAGACACGGCCCAGACUCCUACGGGAGGCAGCAGUAGGGAAUCUUCGGCAAUGGGGGCAACCCUGACCGAGCAACGCCGCGUGAGUGAAGAAGGGUUUCGGAUCGUAAAGCUCUGUUGUAAGUCAAGAACGGGUGUGAGAGUGGAAAGUUCACACUGUGACGGUAGCUUACCAGAAAGGGACGGCUAACUACGUG
rnacentral:rRNA from 1 species